rnacentral:rRNA from 1 species
AGUGAACGCUGGCGGUAGGCCUAACACAUGCAAGUCGAACGGCAGCACAGUAAGAGCUUGCUCUUACGGGUGGCGAGUGGCGGACGGGUGAGGAAUACAUCGGAAUCUACUUUUUCGUGGGGGAUAACGUAGGGAAACUUACGCUAAUACCGCAUACGGCCUACGGGUGAAAGCAGGGGAUCUUCGGACCUUGCGCGAUUGAAUGAGCCGAUGUCGGAUUAGCUAGUUGGCGGGGUAAAGGCCCACCAAGGCGACGAUCCGUAGCUGGUCUGAGAGGAUGAUCAGCCACACUGGAACUGAGACACGGUCCAGACUCCUACGGGAGGCAGCAGUGGGGAAUAUUGGGCAAUGGGCGCAAGCCUGAUCCAGCCAUACCGCGUGGGUGAAGAAGGCCUUCGGGUUGUAAAGCCCUUUUGUUGGGAAAGAAAAGCAGCAGGUUAAUACCCCGCUGUUCUGACGGUACCCAAAGAAUAAGCACCGGCUAACUUCGUG